UAGUCUUCGCCUUCACCUUGGACAUCAUCUCCUGGCUUCCAGCGCAGACUCUUCAGCUUCUGGCCCAGAUCUUUCAGCUUUCUGGUGACAUAGACUCUUCAGCCUUCCAGUGUAGUCUCAUUGGCCUCCUGAUACAGACUUACAUGGGACACUGCAGUGAGCUCCAGACCUUCGACUAAAUCCUCAGGUUUCCAGCAUGCAAACAGACCCUCUGCACUCUUUCUCAUCCGACUCUAGCCCUAGAGGCAGAGAAGAUGCAGGCCAUCAUGCCCAUUUCACAGACAGAGAAGCCGACAUCCUGAACAGGUGGAUCAGCCUAGAAAAGGAAGCACAACCUUGUGUGACAUUACCAUGGAAGUUUCACUUAGUUUUGAAAGUACACUGUGGAUGCUGUGGUGAAUGACACAAUUGGAGAGAAACCCGUACAAGAGGAAGUCCUGUCAGAAGAUGACUGUGGUCCUCCUGAUGAAUGAUAGUUGUGGUUUGGAAAUGAAAGGUGACAGCAGAGAGGGGAAGGAGUGGAUCAAUUCCAGUCAUACAUAAGAAGCUAAUGUGAAGAGAAUGAGCGAAGGAGGUGAUAAUCAACAAUGCAGUCCCUCAAUUAGUAAGCGAUAUCUGUGGUAUUCAUUGUUGCAUCCAAAGAGCUGCUUUGUAACCCGGGAUAUAAAAGCCUCUAAUAAAGAAUGAGCUUGAUGGAACUGGACUUGUUCCUAUGAAUUCCAGAGAUAUUUCUCAGUUUGCACCCAAGUUCUUGUUAUGAUAAUUUCCUUUUGUUUGAUUCAUCCCACAAACAAGCACCUUGGGCAUGGUUUCUGGAUGUAUUAAACAGCCCUGCUGUUGUCUGACCUGGACAGAUUAUGCCUGGGGCAUCAAACGCCACACAGUCAGUGAAACUGUUGUGGCUGGACACGGGCAUUGAAUAAUGUGUCCUGCGGUAACUAACCCCAAAUGUCUCAGGGGCUGUUGCAGCAGCUCUUUGAGUGAGCCUAUUUCUGCCACUCACUAACUUAGCCCAACACUUUCACUAUGCCCCUCAGAGCCUGCCCUCAUUCUAAUCAUAAUUCUACACCAUGAGUUCCCUGUAGUUUUGAAGGGCAGGGUUUUCUCAUCUAUUCCUUAGGGCCAGACUGCUUACCUGAUCUUUUCCCUGAGUCCCACUGGGGUGGCCAGGGUUCCAUCUCAUUUUCUGUAAAGGUCUUGGCCAACACCUUGACCAUGAGUUCCUGAGGGAUCUGAGCCAGAAUCACCUGCACUAAACUGCCCCAAAGUUGCUGACUUACGGAAUUGAGAGAUAAUGAAUGCUUGCUGUUUGAAGCUACUAAGUGUUCAAGUCAUUUGUUACAUAGAGAAAAAAGCCACACAAAUGUUGGCACCUAGAUGUGGGGUGCUGGGUAACUAACAACUGAAAUCUAGGAGUGACUUUGAAACAAGGAAGUAAACAGAUGUACAAGGGCUCUGAAGCAUUUGAGGACAUUUGGAA